UCUUAGUUUUCAUUAUACGUUGUUCAGCCGUGCCGUGCGCGUCGGUUCGUCGCAGCUAAAAGCAGCCAAGCAAACAGCAGAAGACGACGUCAAUUUCGUUGCCAUAAACACAAAAGAGAGCAGAGAAUUUUAACUGUGCUUAUUGCAGCAACAGCAGAAAAAUAUCAAUACAAACUACAAACUUCAACUAAAAAAAAACUAAAGCAAACAAUAGCGAGAGACAAAAGCAACAGAGUGUACAAAAGGCUAAAGUAAACGGAAAAACACAGUUCAAAAGCACCCACGAAUAAAGUAACAAAAAAAAAAACAAAAACUAAAUAAAAAAGACAGCAGACGGCAGUACCAA